rnacentral:rRNA from 1 species
AAGUCGAACGGAAGUUUAAGCAAUUAAACUUUAGUGGCGAACGGGUGAGUAACGCGUAAGCAAUCUGCCCCUAAGACGAGGAUAACAGUUGGAAACGACUGCUAAGACUGGAUAGGAGACAAGAGGGCAUCUUCUUGUUUUUAAAAGACCUAGCAAUAGGUAUGCUUAGAGGAGAGAGCUUGCGUCACAUUAGUUAGUUGGUAGGGGUAAAGGCCUACCAAGACUAUGAUGUGUAGCCGGGCUGAGAGGUUGAACGGCCACAUUGGGACUGAGACACGGCCCAAACUCCUACGGGAGGCAGCAGUAGGGAAUUUUCGGCAAUGGAGGAAACUCUGACCGAGCAACGCCGCGUGAACGAUGAAGUAUUUCGGUACGUAAAGUUCUUUUAUUAGGGAAGAAUAAAUGAUGGAAAAAUCAUUCUGACGGUACCUAAUGAAUAAGCCCCGGCUAACUAUGUGCCAGCAGCCGCGGUAAUACAUAGGGGGCAAGCGUUAUCCGGAAUUAUUGGGCGUAAAGGGUGCGUAGGCGGUUAAAUAAGUUUAUGGUCUAAGUGCAAUGCUCAACAUUGUGAUGCUAUAAAAACUGUUUAGCUAGAGUAAGAUAGAGGCAAGUGGAAUUCCAUGUGUAGUGGUAAAAUGCGUAAAUAUAUGGAGGAACACCAGUAGCGAAGGCGGCUUGCUGGGUCUUUACUGACGCUGAGGCACGAAAGCGUGGGGAGCAAACAGGAUUAGAUACCCUGGUAGUCCACGCCGUAAACGAUGAGUACUAAACGUUGGGUAAAACCAGUGUUGAAGUUAACACAUUAAGUACUCCGCCUGAGUAGUACGUACGCAAGUAUGAAACUUAAAGGAAUUGACGGGACUCCGCACAAGCGGUGGAUCAUGUUGUUUAAUUCGAAGGUACCCGAAAAACCUCACCAGGUCUUGACAUGCUUCUGCAAAGCUGUAGAAACACAGUGGAGGUUAUCAGUUGCACAGGUGGUGCAUGGUUGUCGUCAGCUCGUGUCGUGAGAUGUUGGGUUAAGUCCCGCAACGAGCGCAACCCUUAUUGUUAGUUACCAGCACGUAAUGGUGGGGACUUUAGCAAGACUGCCAGUGAUAAAUUGGAGGAAGGUGGGGACGACGUCAAAUCAUCAUGCCCCUUAUGACCUGGGCUACAAACGUGAUACAAUGGCUGUUACAAAGGGUAGCUGAAGCGCAAGUUUUUGGCGAAUCUCAAAAAAACAGUCUCAGUUCGGAUUGAAGUCUGCAACUCGACUUCAUGAAGUUGGAAUCGCUAGUAAUCGCGAAUCAGCAUGUCGCGGUGAAUACGUUCUCGGGGUUUGUACACACCGCCCGUCAAACCACGAAAGUUGGCAAUACCCAAAGCCGGUGGCCUAACUUCGCAAGAAGAGGGAACCGUCUAAGGUAGGGUCGAUGAUUGGGGUUAAGUCGUAACAAGGUAUCCCUACCGGAAGGUGGGGAUGGAUCACCUCCUUUCU